rnacentral:lncRNA from 1 species
AGCAAUGCCUUUAUAUCCGGCUCCUAAUCAGGGCAUGGGUGCAUACCCAUCCCAGCAGUAUGUCGCGGGUGGUCCCAUUGGCAAUACUUCCACUAGUGGCUAUCCACCACUUGGGGCUCCAGUUCCAUGGGGACCACCUAUGCCUCCACCCUAUACAGCGGGUGGUCCCAUUGGCAAUACUCCCACUAGUGGCUAUCCACCAUUUGGGGCUCCAGUUCCAUGGGGACCACCUAUGCCUCCACCCUAUGCCCAGUACCCACCUCCCCCACCUGGCUCAGCCAUGUAUCCUCCUGUCCCAGGUCAACCCUUCGCUUCAUAUGGAAUGCAGUAUCCUCCAAUUCCACCCGCAUCUUCUGGUGCACCCGCUCAGACUGUUUCUUCAGGUGAAAACGAACAAACCUACACAUCAUCGGGCGAGACACAGCAAAAUUAUCCUCCUGGAGUGCAAUCCCAGAGUAGUGCACCCGUUCAAUCAGUUCCUACUUAUGCGUGUGGCAAUUCUGUCACUUCAAUGCCACCUAAUAUCUCUCCAUAUGGAAUGCAGUAUCCUCCUCCAAUUCCACCCGCAUCUUCUGGUGCACCUGCU